rnacentral:rRNA from 1 species
UGGGUAAUUUACCCUCGAUUCUGGGAUAGCCCGGGGAAACCCGGGAUUAAUACCGGAUAGCCUCUCGAGCUUACGAGCUCUUGAGAAAAGGUAGCUUCGGCCUCCGAUCGAGGAUGAGCCCGCGGCGGAUUAGCUUGUUGGUGGGGUAAUGGCCUACCAAGGCGACGACGGGUAGCUGGUCUGAGAGGAUAACCAGCCACACUGGAACUGAGAUACGGUCCAGACUCCUACGGGAGGCAG